GAUGAACGCUGGCGGCGUGCCUAAUACAUGCAAGUCGAGCGAACAGACGAGGAGCUUGCUCCUCUGACGUUAGCGGCGGACGGGUGAGUAACACGUGGAUAACCUACCUAUAAGACUGGGAUAACUUCGGGAAACCGGAGCUAAUACCGGAUAAUAUAUUGAACCGCAUGGUUCAAUAGUGAAAGACGGUUUUGCUGUCACUUAUAGAUGGAUCCGCGCCGCAUUAGCUAGUUGGUAAGGUAACGGCUUACCAAGGCGACGAUGCGUAGCCGACCUGAGAGGGUGAUCGGCCACACUGGAACUGAGACACGGUCCAGACUCCUACGGGAGGCAGCAGUAGGGAAUCUUCCGCAAUGGGCGAAAGCCUGACGGAGCAACGCCGCGUGAGUGAUGAAGGUCUUCGGAUCGUAAAACUCUGUAAUUAGGGAAGAACAAAUGUGUAAGUAACUAUGCAGGUCUUGACGGUACCUAAUCAGAAAGCCACGGCUAACUACGUG
rnacentral:rRNA from 1 species